CACACCCCACAGCCUUCUCACACAGACGCAGGGCUGGGUAAGGCAGGCAUCGACAGCAGAACACUGCUGAAAGGAAACACAAACCCUGAGUAACUCCAAAUAAUCAUCACUUUCCUCCCCAUUCUACCUGAAUAACUCACAAUCGUCCCCUGGGCAGUGCCAAAGUGAGGUAUUACCUAGCACUAACUUCCUGACCUGUGCCUAAUGCCAAAACUAACAAGGCAGCAGCAGACCAUCCUCACCAUCAUCCCCACCAGCUGCCAACAGGCUGCACAAAGCAGGUAACACUUCACCCCCUCUGCGAUUUCAUUUGUCUACAAAAUAAAGAUGGUCCUCAAACAACACAACUUGAGGGGCCAGAGGAUGGUCUCACAAGCACAGAUGUACCUUUCUCCAAACAUCAUUCCCCUCGUUCCUCCACCCAAAACACAAAGGCGGAGCCACACUCUCCUCAGGCAGGAAAGCUGACACCUAGCUAUGACUUCAGGCUGAAAGGCAGGCAGCCUUGCUGGGAGAGAAGCCCUCCAGACACCUUUUCUUGCCUUUUCUGGAGACUCUGGACUUUAAGGAUUCCUAUCUCAAGAAAAGAAACCUAACUACAAGUUUCCAGGGACCCAGAACUGAACAAGAAACAGAAAGGGAGACGGUGAGAUUUGCAGGUAUGUCUCUUGUAGGAAACUAGUAAGCUCCUUGGAAGUCAAACCAUUCUGUGGUCACCUUAUCCAGAUGGAAUGAAGCAAGCUGAAAAACUCCAGUCUCCUAUCCAGGAUCUGGUUUUUCCUAAGGAACUAACAGGAGAAGUGUAGGGAAUUGGGCAGACCCAGUGUUAGGAAGAACUUCAACUCCGGAGUGGGCAUUUCUCCAUCCACCUGCCACUGAGGACAGGCAGGUUUCUCAAUUUGAUCCCUGGAUCUAGGGCAAGGCACACAGGCAGUUGUGCAGGAGAAGUGGUGUCUGAGGUAGGCCAUGAGGGCGGACUGCUUCCCUUGCUCUUUAUAGGGCCAGUCAUCACAGCAGGCUAGAGAGGACCCCACCAGUGGGCAUCAUGCUGAUUUCUCUAGCGAGCCCUAGGACACGGACGCCAACACGAUUUUGUUGAGGGCAACUGUCGGCAAGCAGGCCCCCAGUUGGCAGGCGGCGUGGGAGUCCCUGGGUUCUGCCUGUCUCAUUACACAGGAUGCCGGACUUGGUUGGGAACACACACUGUGGGCUCUCUGUCCCCAGCAGACACAUCCACUUCCCUAAGGGCCUCCCGUAAAUCGCACCCUUAGACUCCGCACACCAGGAAACCCAUUUCUCAGCCUCUGCAGCAAGCUGUUGGUUUAAAUCAGAAGAUGCUUCAGAACAGUCAUUUCCCAGAUGACUGAGUCCUCCCGGCCUCCCUAAUAGAUCCACCGUUUCAGCCCUGACACCCACUUGUUCCUAAAGACACCAGGGAGAGGAGCACCGAAAGCACUAACCU